AGUUCCCUAUGCUGUACAGCAUGUCCUGUGAGGAAGACCUUGAAGGUAGAAAGAGACAGCACAUUUGACUUUGCUAAACUGAACUUCAGGUUGUACAAAUCAAGUGCAUUUGGCCCUGGAAGCAGCAUUUUAAAAAUCCAGAGUCUAGCAAAGGAGAGUGUGAGAAGGAAGAAGAAGAAGAAGAAGCCUCUCCUUUGGCCACUGAGUCCUCCUCAUUUGAAGUGGGGAUUCCUUGGAGGCCACACGUGGUUCAUUUCUCUGAAAAAUUAUGAUUUGCCAAACACAACUCCGGCCCUUUCCGAUGUGAUCAGUUGCUUGGGGCGCGGCCCAGGAACUGCUCUCUGGAGUCAAGAGUCAGAGAAAGCAUCAAAUCAAUACGGAGCUGUAAACGGGUCCCCAGCCCGUACCCCUUUGUUAUUUCUACUGGUUUGUUCUACAGACCCUUAAUUCUAUUAUCCAGCUUUAAUUUGGCUCUGUGUCUCUCCAACAUUUUUUUUUUUCUUUCUUCUGCGCCCUUUCUCUUUAAUCGAUUGAUUCAUCUGUAAUUGGAUUUUCUCUGGCUGUUACCAGCUAUUAAAAGUAGCUCUGCGUGUGUAUGUGAGUGAGUGCGCUUUCUAACUAGGCCACGGUUUUGAAUGCCUGGCAAUCCUGACUCUUGCUCAGGUUCCUUAGAACGAAUUCAAUUCCCUGAUUCCUUCUUAGGCAGUGGGGAGUCAGAGAGAGAACGCAGGCUUUAGAAGCAGAUAGCACCGCACCAUAUCGUGUUUGGUUCUGUUUGUUUAGUGUAAGGCAGACAUUUAUUGAGCUCAUAUUACUGGGCCAGGAGUCUUUCCAAGCACUUUACAAGCAUGAAUAACCCUCACUGCAUCCUUUUAAGGUAGGUACUGUUAUUAUUCCAUUUUACAGAUAAAAGGAUGGCAUCAGAGGAGGUUAAGGGACCCACCCAUGGUCUCACAAUAGCACUUGAUCAUGAUGCAGUUUUCCAAAAUUCUACCCCUUCAUACCUGAGUAAAUUGGGGGGGGGGGUGUUUGUUAUGUAUUUUUCUUUUUAGGGCCGCACCUGAGGCAUAUGGAAGUUCCCAGGCUAGGGGUUGAAUUGGAGUUGCAACGCUGCCCUACACCACAGCCACAGUGAGACCAGAUCUAAGCUGCAUUCACCACCUACACCUCAGCUUGUGGCAGUGCCAGAUCCUUAACCCACUAAGCAAGGCCAGGGAUCAAACCCGCAUCCUCAUGGAUACUAGUCGAAUUCUUAACCCUCUGAGCCACAACGGGAACUCCUGUAUCUGCGUAACUUUGGCAUGGCUCAUUUUUUCUGCCUCAGCCUCCACAUCACUUCUGCAAAAUGAGCAAAAGCAGAUCUCCCUUGCAGGAUGAUGGUUAGAAUGUUUCACACUGGGGGGUAUAUACAUAGCAGAUCCCAGGGUCUGACACCACAAGGGAGACC
rnacentral:lncRNA from 1 species